rnacentral:ncRNA from 1 species
UCCUGACAGCCCGCAUGGUGCGGUCUGACACUGGCCACGACAGGAGACAAACAUG